GUUAGAUUAUCAUAUAAAACUUUAUAGAGAUAUUUUUCUUAAAUGUUGGUUUAACUCUAGAAACGUAUAGGAAGCUUUUGGGGAUCCUAUUCUUGAUGGGCUGAUUGGAAGAAUCCGGAGUAUAAGUGCUUCCGGUGAAUGGAUAAAAUGUCAAAUAGGAGAAAGAAAUAGAAUGGUUAAGCAGUUUGAGACGACUACAACCAAGAAGGGUCAGUCCCGAUGGGGUGGUCCAAAGAGAUGAGAAGGUCUUCAGGUUUGCUCCUGAGAGAAACAUCCCUAUUGUCAUGGUUACGUCAGGUGGCUAUAUGAAAACCAGUGCCAGAGUCAGAGCAAAUUCCAUAAUAAACCUUUCAAAGGAAGGCUUGAUAGAUACAAAUGUCCGCAGCUGAAGAAGAUAAAUGACACUAUAUGUCAAUGAAGUACGAAGUUUAAAUUCCAUAAUAAACCUCUCAAAGAAAGGCUUGAUAGAUAAAGGUCAGUUCCCCAGAGGAAUCCUUCCGAUUGUAAGCAACCAAAUAGGAGAAACGAGGAGAUAGAAGUGUGAGUUUUAUGUAGAAAUAAUACUCGUAGGAGCAUGCGUGUGUUUCGAAUUCUUCUUCUUCGAGUAGUUAACCUUGCAGUUUUGUAUACCUAAAUAUAGUAAAAGGUUGCAAUGUUGAU